rnacentral:rRNA from 1 species
CACGUACUAUCAGAGUUUGAUCCUGGCUCAGGACGAACGCUGGCGGCGUGCCUAACACAUGCAAGUCGAACGGGGUGAUUUCCUUCGGGAGAUCACUUAGUGGCGAACGGGUGAGUAACGCGUGAGAAACCUGCCUUUCAGUGGGGGACAACAGUUGGAAACGACUGCUAAUACCGCAUAAUGUAUAUUGGGGGCAUCCCUAAUAUACCAAAGCUUUAUGUGCUGAAAGAUGGUCUCGCGUCUGAUUAGCUAGUUGGUGAGGUAACGGCUCACCAAGGCGACGAUCAGUAGCCGGUCUGAGAGGAUGAACGGCCACAUUGGGACUGAGAUACGGCCCAG